rnacentral:rRNA from 1 species
AGGCUGCAGCUCGCCUAUAUGAAGUUGGGAAUUGCUAGUAAUCGCGGAUCAGCAUGCCGCGGUGAAUACGUUCCCGGGCCUUGUACACACCGCCCGUCACACCAUGAGAGCCGGUAAUACCCGAAGUCAGUAUCCUAACCGCAAGGGGGGAGCUGCCGAAGGUAGGAUUGGCGAUUGGGGUGAAGUCGUAACAAGGUAUC